AGCAUAUCAAUAAGCGGAGGAAAAGAAACCAACAGGGAUUGCCUCAGUAACGGCGAGUGAAGCGGCAACAGCUCAAAUUUGAAAUCUGAAGUCUCUGGCUUCCGAGUUGUAAUUUGAAGAGGAUGUUUCGGUGCGGCCUGGGCCUAAGUUCCUUGGAACAGGACGUCAUGGAGGGUGAGAAUCCCGUACAUGGCUGCAGGCUUGCUUCUAUGUGAAACUCCUUCGAAGAGUCGAGUUGUUUGGGAAUGCAGCUCAAAAUGGGUGGUAAAUUUCAUCUAAAGCUAAAUAUUGGCGGGAGACCGAUAGCGCACAAGUAGAGUGAUCGAAAGAUGAAAAGCACUUUGAAAAGAGAGUUAAACAGUACGUGAAAUUGUUGAAAGGGAAGCGCUUGCAAUCAGACUCGCCUUCAGUUGAUCAACCUUCCUUCUGGUUGGUGCACUCUGCUGUUGGCGGGCCAGCAUCAGUUGGGACGGUGGGACAAAGGCAGCAGGAAUGUGGCUCGCUUCGGUGAGUGUUAUAGCCUGCUGCGUCAUGCCACCAGCCCCGACUGAGGUCCGCGGUUCGCCUAGGAUGCUGGCUUAAUGGUUGUAAGCGACCCGUCU
rnacentral:rRNA from 1 species